rnacentral:rRNA from 1 species
UAGGGAAUCUUCCACAAUGGGCGCAAGCCUGAUGGAGCAACACCGCGUGAGUGAAGAAGGGUUUCGGCUCGUAAAGCUCUGUUGUUAGAGAAGAACGUGCGUGAGAGCAACUGUUCACGCAGUGACGGUAUCUAACCAGAAAGUCACGGCUAACUACGUGCCAGCAGCCGCGGUAAUACGUAGGUGGCAAGCGUUAUCCGGAUUUAUUGGGCGUAAAGCGAGCGCAGGCGGUUUGAUAAGUCUGAUGUGAAAGCCUUUGGCUUAACCAAAGAAGUGCAUCGGAAACUGUCAGACUUGAGUGCAGAAGAGGACAGUGGAACUCCAUGUGUAGCGGUGGAAUGCGUAGAUAUAUGGAAGAACACCAGUGGCGAAGGCGGCUGUCUGGUCUGCAACUGACGCUGAGGCUCGAAAGCAUGGGUAGCGAACAGGA